rnacentral:rRNA from 1 species
AAUGAACGUUGGCGGCGUGGAUUAGGCAUGCAAGUCGAGCGAGAAUUUGCGAUUGGAAGCUUUCGGCCGAAGAAAGUGAAGGAAAGCGGCAAACGGCGUAGUAAGGCGUAGGUACGUACCCUCGGGUCGGGAAUAGCCAUGGGAAACUGUGGGUAAUGCCCGAUAAUCUCUGCGGAGCAAAGGUGUGAUUCCGCCGGAGGAGCGGCUUACGUGAUAUUAGCUAGUUGGUGGGGUAAUGGCCUACCAAGGCAACGAUGUCUAGGGGGUGUGAGAGCAUGGCCCCCACACUGGGACUGAGACACUGCCCAGACACCUACGGGUGGCUGCAGUCGAGAAUCUUUGGCAAUGGGCGCAAGCCUGACCAAGCGACGCUGCGUGCGGGAUGAAGGCCCUUGGUUGUAAACCGCUGUCAGGGGGGAUCAAGGCGAAAGCUUGAGAGAGCCCCAGAGGAAGCACGGGCUAAGUUCGUGCCAGCAGCCGCGGUAAUGU